rnacentral:rRNA from 1 species
UGGGGAAUAUUGCGCAAUGGGGGAAACCCUGACGCAGCGACGCCGUGUGAGGGAAGAAGGCCUUCGGGUCGUAAACCUCUGUCGGGAGGGAAGAACCGCCGGUUUCCGAACAGGGAGCCGGUCUGACGGUACCUCCGAAGGAAGCGCCGGCUAACUCCGUGCCAGCAGCCGCGGUAAUACGGAGGGCGCGAGCGUUAAUCGGGAAUCACUGGGCGUAAAGCGCGCGUAGGCGGCUUGAUAAGUCGGGCGUGAAAGCCCUCGGCCCAACCGAGGAACUGGCGUUCGAUACUGUUAGGCUUGAGUCCUGGAGAGGGUGGCGGAAUUCCGGGUGUAGGAGUGAAAUCCGUAGAUAUCCGGAGGAACACCGGUGGCGAAGGCGGCCACCUGGACAGGUACUGACGC